UCCCUUGUCGCUCAGCUGGUAAAGCAUCCUCCUGCAAUGUGGGAGACCUGGGUUCAAUCCCUAGGUUGGGAA
rnacentral:tRNA from 1 species